CCUUCUUAAUCUGAGGAGAAGAAAGAAAAAAGAAAAAGCAGUGUUUUUGGCGUUUGUUUAUCCCUGUCUUUUCUCUUUCCAUCAUUGAGGAAGAGCUUCAUCUUGAUUGAAUAAGAAACUCGUCAUACAUCCAUGGACGAUUCGGGAAACCCAAGCAGGAGUCUAAUCUUAAUGAGAUAUAUAUGAAGGCUAGGAGGAUUUAAGGAUCCGAGCUCGGAAGCAGCUAUGAAACACGGCAAAGCUUAUGCGGAUGAAGGCGAAGGAGAGAUGGUGGAGAAGCUAAGUGGAGCUGUUACUUCUUGUCUCGCUGGUACGACCGAGGAAGUGAGGCAAAAGGCUACACAGUCUCUUCACAGUCACUUGGCUCCAUCGUUGAGCUAAAGAAUCAGAUCUGAGGAAGAAGUUGACUAAAUAGAUCGAAGAUGUUUAAGCAGAUACUUGGGAAGCUUCCAAAGAAACCUUCUGCCAAGUUUUGGGAUAAUGGUGAAUCCCAAACUGCAGAUAACAACAAUAAUCAAGGAGGAUGUGAUGAAGCUUUGAGUCAGAGAUCAUCAUCAAAGGGAGAUUACACUGAUUGUGUUUCUUUUGAUGUGUUGCCAAGGUUGAGAGAUGCAUCAAUAUCUGAGAAGCAAGAACUGUUUCUUUGCUGUGUAGUGUUUGAAUUCGCCGUGGAGCCAACCAAAAACCUCAAAGAGAAAGAGAUCAAAAGGCAAACACUUCUUGAAGUUGUGGAUUAUGUUAUCACUUUUUUAAUUUAUUGUACUAUUAUAAUUUCAAAAAUAAUAAAUUUAAAUUAAGGACCAUAAUUUUAGAUACUACAAAUGAACCAUAAAAAUAGAAAGUUUCUUAAGAAGUUUGUUAACUUCACU